rnacentral:rRNA from 1 species
AUUGAACGCUGGCGGCAGGCCUAACACAUGCAAGUCGAGCGGAUGACGGGAGCUUGCUCCUUGAUUCAGCGGCGGACGGGUGAGUAAUGCCUAGGAAUCUGCCUGGUAGUGGGGGACAACGUUUCGAAAGGAACGCUAAUACCGCAUACGUCCUACGGGAGAAAGCAGGGGACCUUCGGGCCUUGCGCUAUCAGAUGAGCCUAGGUCGGAUUAGCUUGUUGGUGAGGUAAUGGCUCACCAAGGCGACGAUCCGUAACUGGUCUGAGAGGAUGAUCAGUCACACUGGAACUGAGACACGGUCCAGACUCCUACGGGAGGCAGCAGUGGGGAAUAUUGGACAAUGGGCGAAAGCCUGAUCCAGCCAUGCCGCGUGUGUGAAGAAGGUCUUCGGAUUGUAAAGCACUUUAAGUUGGGAGGAAGGGUUGUAGAUUAAUACUCUGCAAUUUUGACGUUACCGACAGAAUAAGCACCGGCUAACUCUGUGCCAGCCGCCGCCGUAAAAC